AAUAAAAUAGUUAAAUUAACUAAAAUAACAUUAAUUUGUCAAAUUAAAAUAAAAACUUUAUUC
rnacentral:tRNA from 1 species